UACAGAGGGGGCAAGCGUUAUUCGGAAUUAUUGGGCGUAAAGGGCUCGUAGGCGGCCAACUAAGUCGGACGUGAAAUCCCUCGGCUUAACCGGGGAACUGCGUCCGAUACUGGAUGGCUUGAGUUCGGGAGAGGGAUGCGGAAUUCCAGGUGUAGCGGUGAAAUGCGUAGAUAUCUGGAGGAACACCGGUGGCGAAGGCGGCAUCCUGGACCGACACUGACGCUGAGGAGCGAAAGCCAGGGGAGCAAACGGG
rnacentral:rRNA from 1 species